rnacentral:rRNA from 1 species
UGGCGGCGUGCAUAACACAUGCAAGUCGAACGAUGAAACUUAGCUGAUUUCUUCGGAAUGAAAAUAAGUGGAUUAGUGGCGAACGGGUGAGUAACACGUGAGUAACCUGCCUUACACAAGGGGAUAGCCUUUGGAAACGAAGAAUAAUACCCUAUAAAGUUAGUCAAUCGCAUGGUAGACUAACCAAAGAUUUAUCGGUGUAAGAUGGACUUGCGUCUGAUUAGCUAGUUGGUGAGAUAAAAGCCCACCAAGGCGACGAUCAGUAGCCGGCUUGAGAGAGUGUACGGCCACAUUGGGACUGAGACACGGCCCAAACUCCUACGGGAGGCAGCAGUGGGGAAUUUUGCACAAUGGGGGAAACCCUGAUGCAGCGACGCCGCGUGAUUUAGAAGGCCUUCGGGUUGUAAAAAUCUUUUUUAUGGGAUGAAAAUGACAGUACCAUAAGAAUAAGGUCCGGCUAAAUACGUGCCAGCAGCCGCGGUAAUACGUAUGGACCGAGCGUUGUCCGGAAUCAUUGGGCGUAAAGGGUACGUAGGCGGCCUAGUAAGUUAGAAGUGAAAUAAUAUAGCUCAACUAUAUAAAGCUUUUAAAACUGUUAGGCUUGAGAGAUGAAAGGGAAAGUGGAAUUCCUAGUGUAGCGGUGAAAUGCGCAGAUAUUAGGAAGAAUACCGGUGGCGAAGGCGACUUUCUGGUCAUCAUCUGACGCUGAGGUACGAAAGCGUGGGUAGCAAACAGGAUUAGAUACCCUGGUAGUCCACGCUGUAAGCGAUGAGUGUUAGGUUCUUGGAAUAAUCUGGGAGCCGCAGCUAACGCAUUAAACACUCCGCCUGGGGAGUACGCACGCAAGUGUG